AGCUGAUGGCCAACAACCGCCUGCAAUUGGAACGAUACAGACAAGAUUAGCAUGGCCCCUGGCGCAAAGAUGACACGCAAAUUCGUGAAGCGUUCCAUGUUUUU